AGAGUUUGAUCCUGGCUCAGGAUGAACGCUGGCGGCGUGCUUAACACAUGCAAGUCGAACGGGAUCCAUCAAGCUUGCUUGGUGGUGAGAGUGGCGAACGGGUGAGUAAUGCGUGACCGACCUGCCCCAUACACCGGAAUAGCUCCUGGAAACGGGUGGUAAUGCCGGAUGUUCCAGUUGAUCGCAUGGUCUUCUGGGAAAGCUUUCGCGGUAUGGGAUGGGGUCGCGUCCUAUCAGCUUGACGGCGGGGUAACGGCCCACCGUGGCUUCGACGGGUAGCCGGCCUGAGAGGGCGACCGGCCACAUUGGGACUGAGAUACGGCCCAGACUCCUACGGGAGGCAGCAGUGGGGAAUAUUGCACAAUGGGGGAAACCCUGAUGCAGCGACGCCGCGUGAAGGAAGAAGUAUCUCGGUAUGUAAACUUCUAUCAGCAGGGAAGAAAAUGACGGUACCUGACUAAGAAGCCCCGGCUAACUACGUGCCAGCAGCCGCGGUAAUACGUAGGUGGCAAGCGUUAUCCGGAUUUAUUGGGCGUAAAGGGAACGCAGGCGGUCUUUUAAGUCUGAUGUGAAAGCCUUCGGCUUAACCGGAGUAGUGCAUUGGAAACUGGGAGACUUGAGUGCAGAAGAGGAGAGUGGAACUCCAUGUGUAGCGGUGAAAUGCGUAGAUAUAUGGAAGAACACCAGUGGCGAAAGCGGCUCUCUGGUCUGUAACUGACGCUGAGGUUCGAAAGCGUGGGUAGCAAACAGGAUUAGAUACCCUGGUAGUCCACGCCGUAAACGAUGAAUGCUAAGUGUUGGAGGGUUUCCGCCCUUCAGUGCUGCAGCUAACGCAAUAAGCAUUCCGCCUGGGGAGUACGACCGCAAGGUUGAAACUCAAAGGAAUUGACGGGGGCCCGCACAAGCGGUGGAGCAUGUGGUUUAAUUCGAAGCAACGCGAAGAACCUUACCAGGUCUUGACAUCUUCUGACAAUCCUAGAGAUAGGACUUUCCCUUCGGGGACAGAAUGACAGGUGGUGCAUGGUUGUCGUCAGCUCGUGUCGUGAGAUGUUGGGUUAAGUCCCGCAACGAGCGCAACCCUCGCCCCGUGUUGCCAGCGGAUUGUGCCGGGAACUCACGGGGGACCGCCGGGGUUAACUCGGAGGAAGGUGGGGAUGACGUCAGAUCAUCAUGCCCCUUACGUCCAGGGCUUCACGCAUGCUACAAUGGCCGGUACAACGGGAUGCGACGCGGCGACGCGGAGCGGAUCCCUGAAAACCGGUCUCAGUUCGGAUCGCAGUCUGCAACUCGACUGCGUGAAGGCGGAGUCGCUAGUAAUCGCGAAUCAGCAACGUCGCGGUGAAUGCGUUCCCGGGC
rnacentral:rRNA from 1 species